CAGAUUCGCUUCGGUGAUGACGCUGGGAACGCGAGCGGCGGAUGGGUGAGUAACACGUGGGUAACCUGCCCUAAAGUCUGGGAUACCACUUGGAAACAGGUGCUAAUACCGGAUAACAACAAUAGCUGCAUGGCUAUUGCUUAAAAGGCGGCGAAAGCUGUCGCUAAAGGAUGGACCCGCGGUGCAUUAGCUAGUUGGUAAGGUAAUGGCUUACCAAGGCGACGAUGCAUAGCCGAGUUGAGAGACUGAUCGGCCACAUUGGGACUGAGACACGGCCCAAACUCCUACGGGAGGCAGCAGUAGGGAAUCUUCCACAAUGGGCGAAAGCCUGAUGGAGCAACGCCGCGUGAGUGAAGAAGGUUUUCGGAUCGUAAAGCUCUGUUGUUGGUGAAGAAGGAUAGAGGUAGUAACUGGCCCCUAUUUGACGGUAAUCAACCAGAAAGUCACGGCUAACUACGUGCCAGCAGCCGCGGUAAUACGUAGGUGGCAAGCGUUGUCCGGAUUUAUUGGGCGUAAAGCGAGCGCAGGCGGAAAGAUAAGUCUGAUGUGAAAGCCCCCGGCUUAACCGAGGAAUUGCAUCGGAAACUGUGUUUCUUGAGUGCAGAAGAGGAGAGUGGAACUCCAUGUGUAGCGGUGGAAUGCGUAGAUAUAUGGAAGAACACCAGUGGCGAAGGCGGCUCUCUGGUCUGUA
rnacentral:rRNA from 1 species